UCAAACUUGAAUUUUAGUCAAAUGAAGCAAUCAAAGUACAACAGACACUUAGCUUCAUACAAACAGACUGAUUUAGUGUUUAACCAGAGAGAGAGAGAGAGAGAGAGAGAGAGAGAGAGAGAGAGAGCAGUGAGGUGUAUCUGAGAUUUGCAUUAACAGGACUGAAUAGUUUCAUUUCUCCGAAAAUAGCAAUUGCCAGUCCAUGCUUCAGUGCUCUGCGAGUGUUUAUAGCCCUGUGACUUUAACACUUCAUGACUGAGAGCUGCUGCUCAGCAACUUCACCCACAGCAACCAUGACUUUGAUCAGCGUCUUCAUCUGCACACUGGCCCUCUGGACUCAAGGAUCCAGAGGUCAGGUGACUGUGACUCAGACUCCUUCAGUGCAAACUGUUGAUCCAGGAAAAACGGUCACCUUCAACUGUAGAACCAGUAGCGGUGUGUAUAAUGGUAACAAUCUCGCCUGGUACCUGCAGAAACCUGGAGAAGCUCCUAAACUCCUGAUCUAUGCUGCUACUAGCUUACAGUCAGGAACUCCAGCUCGUUUCAGUGGCAGUGGAUCUAAUACUGACUUCACUCUGACCAUCAGAGGAGUCCAGGCUGAAGAUGCAGGAGAUUACUACUGUCAGAGUGCACAUUAUAUCAGUGGUAGCUAUGUGUUCACACAGUGUUAG